GCAGUCGCCGCGGUAAUACAGAGGGUGCGAGCGUUAAUCGGAUUUACUGGGCGUAAAGCGUGCGUAGGCGGCUUCUUAAGUCGGAUGUGAAAUCCCUGAGCUUAACUUAGGAAUUGCAUUCGAUACUGGGAAGCUAGAGUAUGGGAGAGGAUGGUAGAAUUCCAGGUGUAGCGGUGAAAUGCGUAAAGAUCUGGAGGAAUACCGAUGGCGAAGGCAGCCAUCUGGCCUAAUACUGACGCUGAGGUACGAAAGCAUGGGGAGCAAACAGGAUUAGAUACCCCCGUAGCCCCUGUCUCUUAUAC
rnacentral:rRNA from 1 species